rnacentral:ncRNA from 2 species
GAACAAAAUGUGAUUUCAGGUACUCGGAUUACAAAGACAAUCUGGGUUUAAAAGGGAAAGCGGUGAAAAUCCGCUGCAGCCCCCGCUACUGUAAGCGAAUACGAAUCUCAAAAGUCCACUGGCGAAAGCUGGGAAGGAGAGAGGAGAGUGAAGCGCAAGCCAGGAGACCUGCCUUAAAUCAGAUGCUAGA